rnacentral:rRNA from 1 species
AACAGGAUUAGAUACCCUGGUAGUCCACGCCCUAAACGAUGUCGAUUAGCUGUUGGGCAGCAUGACUGCUUAGUAGCGAAGCUAACGCGUGAAAUCGACCGCCUGGGGAGUACGGUCGCAAGAUUAAAACUCAAAGGAAUUGACGGGGACCCGCACAAGCGGUGGAUGAUGUGGAUUAAUUCGAUGCAACGCGAAGAACCUUACCUGGUCUUGACAUGUACGGAACCCUCCAGAGACGGAGGGGUGCCUUCGGGAGCCGUAACACAGGUGCUGCAUGGCUGUCGUCAGCUCGUGUCGCGAGAUGUUGGGUUAAGUCCCGCAACGAGCGCAACCCUUGUCAUUAGUUGCCAUCAUUAAGUUGGGCACUCUAAUGAGACUGCCGGUGACAAGCCGGAGGAAGGUGGGGAUGACGUCAAGUCCUCAUGGCCCUUAUGACCAGGGCUUCACACGUCAUACAAUGGUCGGUACAGAGGGUAGCCAAGCCGCGAGGUGGAGCCAAUCUCACAAAACCGAUCGUAGUCCGGAUUGCACUCUGCAACUCGAGUGCAUGAAGUCGGAAUCGCUAGUAAUCGCAGGUCAGCAUACUGCGGUGAAUACGUUCCCGGGUCUUGUACACACCGCCCGUCACACCAUGGGAGUGGGGGAUACCAGAAGUAGGUAGGGUAACCGCAAGGAGCCCGCUUACCACGGUAUGCUUCAUGACUGGGGUGAAGUCGUAACAAGGUAACC